rnacentral:rRNA from 1 species
GAUGAACGCUGGCGGCGUGCCUAAUACAUGCAAGUCGAGCGAACAGACGAGGAGCUUGCUCCUCUGACGUUAGCGGCGGACGGGUGAGUAACACGUGGAUAACCUACCUAUAAGACUGGGAUAACUUCGGGAAACCGGAGCUAAUACCGGAUAAUAUAUUGAACCGCAUGGUUCAAUAGUGAAAGACGGUUUUGCUGUCACUUAUAGAUGGAUCCGCGCCGCAUUAGCUAGUUGGUAAGGUAACGGCUUACCAAGGCAACGAUGCGCAGCCGACCUGAGAGGGUGAUAGGCCACACUGGAACUGGGACACGGUCCAGACUCCUACGGGAGGCAGCAGUAGGGAAUCUUCCGCAAUGGGCGAAAGCCUGACGGAGCAACGCCGCGUGAGUGAUGAAGGUCUUCGGAUCGUAAAACUCUGUUAUUAGGGAAGAACAAAUGUGUAAGUAACUAUGCACGUCUUGACGGUACCUAAUCAGAAAGCCACGGCUAACUACGUG